UUCAGAUUGAAUGAUCUGAUCAGACUUUUUGGAUCUAGAACAGAGAGGAAAGAUGAGCUGAGAAGAGACUGAAGUGCAAAGAUCCAAAAGAAUUUUGAUCUUCUCUGUUUUUACAGACAGCGGGUCAAAUCCUGAGGACCCUUCAGUGGUUUGGUGUGUUUCAGAAACCAGAAGUGAUGUGAUGCAUUUAACUUUCUUAAAUGUUGCUGUUCCUAUAAAAAUCAAGAAGUGAAACAACAUGAGAUGUUGGUCCGUGUGUGCUUCUGGAGCUAUGUGUCUCCAUCAUGUGGAGUCAGAGCAGAAGUGCAGCAGCUGAUGGAAGUUUCCUCUGACUCCCACUGCUGCCUGACCACUUCCACCCGAUCCUGAAAGACAGCACAAAAGAAGGACCAAUGAUGGUGGAACAUGUGAAUCCAGUGAAUCCAGCAGCAUGGAUCAGUGUGAGGACAGAAAGGAAGGAAGGAGUCCCUCCAUCUAAAAGCACAGUGAGUGGGGAAUGUGAGCGCCAGAUCCAAACUCAGUGGAACCAACCUGGACCAGAAUGUGAACCCAACUGUGUGUCCUUCAGGAGUCACAGGUCGAAGGAUGUGAAUCCUAACUUCAAAGGCAUCAGUUCAGGAGUGAAACAGUGAGUGUUUGUGAAAAGGUUCUAAAACAUUCAACUAGAUCAAGUUUUUGGUUUUGAAGACUUCAAACCAAAAACGUCUACAUUUUUUAGAACUUUUUCAUUUCAUCAUGACCUGAAUGACUGAUAAUCUACACCAACAGUAAGUGUUUGUCAGAGUUAAAGGAUAAUAGUUCAGAUGAUCAAUUGUUUUUAGGUGAAUGACUUGGUUCAGUUCUUAAUCUAUCUGAUCAGGCUCACUUGGAGCAUCUUGCGUGUGAUGAGAUUUUUCAGUUAUGUCUUCUGAGUUUCUCAAAGAGAGCAGAGAUGUUAGAAUAGAAAACCUGCUGACUAAUUCAAAAGCUGGAAUGAAAGAAAUAUUUUUUUUUCUAUCAGGCCUCCUCAGAAACUCAGUGCUGUGUGCCCUUCAGGGGUGACCAGUCAAAGAAUGAUCAUUUUAAAUUAGCACCAGCUUCUUCUGCUGAGAGGUGAGGUGGAUUUACAUUUCGUAAAAGAGUCAAAUGAGUGAAAUGGUUUUAUUCAAACAUGUGUUGGAUGUUACUCAGCUCUUUCUCAAACGCAUUUCUGUCAUGUGUUCAGCAGCAAGUGUUGGUUUCCCUCAAACACACCAGUCAGAGUAAAAGAAUGGAUGAAAUUUCCCGUGUCUGUUUUCAUUUGCCUUUGCUCCUGAAACUGAAUUUGUAAUUCAUUCAACCACAGCAUGUCUUUAUUUGUUUAAAAACUACCUUAUCCUCUGAUAAGUGAAACUGAAAGACAGUGCAGUUUUUUUAUGAUACCUGUGUGAUCCAGAUUUGCUGUACAAUCCAAAAUAAAAAACAAAGAAAU